AAGAGCUAGUAGUCUAAUGACAGCAAAAGAAAUGCAUGUUAAAAAACAAUAACUCAUAAAACCCUCCCAGGAAAAAUGGGUAUAUGCCUUCUAGCGCCAACUUUGGACACUGGCUAUGAAAUUUAGAUCUUGAAGGGAUCGUAGAAUCCUCCAGUCUGCUCCUCUGAAUUUAUAGACGAGAAAACCCGCUCUAGAAAGGGGAAGUAGGGAGGGGUGCCAUCAGGGAGGGAAAAGCAAAGGGUCCCCAAACAAAUGACCCAAGUCAUCGCUACCAGGAGACCCUAGGAAGGCUGCUUAGUCUCGGGCAACCUCGGUUCCUCAUCUGUAACAGGGGAAAUGCUUACCUUUUAUGGUGGUUUUAGGAAUCAGUUACUCAGUGAGUCACAGUCUUUCCCAGCACCACGUGCCAGGCACUGUGCUUGGUGCUAAGGACGGAGUGGAGAACAAGAGACAGUGCCUGUGACCAACAGAAGAGCAGGUUUAGGGAGAAGAGUGAAUGAGCCAACAGGGCCCAAGGCUCAGCGUUGUGUUUCCCGGCUCAUUGUAGGUGCCAGUUAAGUUCCCAAAGGGAAAGGGGCUUGGUGCAUUCUUUUUUUUUUUUUUUUUUUUUUUUUUUGGUCUUUUGUCUUUUUAGGGCUGCACCCUUGGCAUGUGGAGGUUCCCAGGCUAGGAGUCUAAUCGGAGCCGUAGCAGCCGGUCUACACCACAGCCACAACAAUGCCAGAUCUGAGCCCCAUCUGCAACUUACACCAUGGCUCACAGCAACGCCAGAUCCUUAACCCACUGAGCAAGGCCAGGGAUCGAACUCACAUCCUCAUGGUUCCUAGUCGGAUUCGUUUCUGCUCCACCAUGACGGGAACUCCUUCUUGGUGCAUUCUUUUUGUUUGUUUUGUUUUAAUUUUUGUUUUUGUUUUUGUUUUACAUUUUAGGGCUGUAAGUACAGAAUAUGGAAGUUUCCAGGCUAGGGGGUCAAAUCGGAGCUGCCACUGCCAGCCUUCACCACAGCCACAGCAACUUGGGAUCCAAGCUGUGUCUGUGACCUAUACUGCAGCUCAUGGCAAUGAUGGAUCCUUAACCCACUGAGCGAGGCGAGGGAUCGAACCUGGAACCUAAGUGCCGAGCAAAGUGACGGACACACUGAAGGUGCUCAGUAAGUGUUUUUUGCUGAACGAAAUCAACGCUCUUCUUCUUACCCCAAAGGCAGAGGACACCUCUAGACACAAAAGGAAAGAAAAGCAUUUGCCGGGUGAGGGAGCAGGCAUUUCAGGAGGAGGUAAUGGUCAGCCUGGAGCUUGGCACUAGACCAGGUCCCAGGCCAAAAGAAAAGGCAAAUAUCACCAGUUGAGCCGGGGCUUAUUUUACUUUAUUUUAUUUUUUAAAAUAUAGCUUAUCUCUUGAUAAAUUAAAACAAAACCAAAAAACUUCUCUGGUCCUUUUUCCCUUCUAGUGACACCCAAUAUGAAUGUUUUUUCUCAUCAAAUAAAUCCAUUAUUCUUAGCCAGGAAGGCCAAGUUUAAAAUAGACGUAAACGACAUCCUCAAAAUAAUCUAUAAACAAUAAAUGCUGGAGAGGGAGUGGGGAAAAGGAAACCCUCCCACACUGCUGGUGAGGAUGUAAGUUGGUCCAAUCACUAUGGAGAACAGAAUGGAGGUUCCUUAAAUAAACUAAAUAUAGAACUAUCAUAUGAUCCAGCAAUCCCACUCUUGGGCAGCUAUCCAGAGAAAAUCAUAUUCAAAAAGAUACAUGCACUGCCACGUACAUCACAGCAGUGUUCACAAUAGCCAAGACAAGGAAGCAACCUAAAUGUCCAUCAACAGAGGAAUGGAUAAAGAAGAUGUGGUACACAUGUCCAAGGGAAUACUACUGAGUCAUGAAAAAGAAAUAAUAAUGCCAUUUGCAGCAACACGGAUGGACCUAGAAAUUAUCAUACUAAGUAAAGUCAGUCAGACCGAGAAAGACAAAUAUCACGUGAGAUCACCAAUAUGUGGAAUCUAAUAAAAGUAAUGCAAAAGAACUUACAAAACAGAAACAGACUCAAAGAUUUUGAAAUCAAACUCAUGGUUACCAAAGGGGAGACGUGGGGCAGGAGGGAUAAAUUGGGGGGUUGGGAUGGACCUAUGCAGACUACUGUGUAUAAAAUAGACAGGUAACAAGGACCUACUGGGAAAUCUACUCAGCACUGUGCAAUGACCUAUAUGGGAAAAGAAUCUGAAAAGGAACAGAUACAUGUAAAUGCAAAACUGAUUUACUCUACUGUACGCCUGAAACGAACACAAUUUUCUAAGUCAACUCUACUCCAAUACAAUUUAUUUAAAAAAAUAAAAUAGAAGUAAACACAACUUAUGUCAACAAAACCGAGAGAAAAUAAAAAGCAUUUCUGUGCAUACCAUCCCCAGUUUGAGGCCAUCGAAACUGGGAUGGUAAGAAUGGUGAGGGCAAUAUAGUUACAGGGAGGAGGGGACACUUCAGGCUCUGGGUCAGGAAUUUAGGGCCCUGAACGUCACUACAGAUUUCUGUGCGGAGGGGAGCCCCACCCUUCCUGCUGGGGUUCCUAGGUCUCUUGGUCAGGCAUUAGGUAGAGCCAGCUCCCUAACUGCGCCUUGCCUCAUGAAAUCUGCCCCGUCCAGACUUUCUGAAGGAAAGCAAAAGAAUUGGUGUUGAAAACAAUCCCAGGCGGAAAGCUAGAGGGCGGAGUCCGGGUCCAGCUCUGGGGGUACAAUCUUCAUGGAGGCACCUCAGCUCUCUGAAUUUCCAUUCCCUUGUUUGUAAAGUGAGAAGUUGGACCUCGACAAGGCGUGGAACACACCCAAGAGGCCUGCCCCUCUGCCGCAUCUCAUCCACGGCAGACAUGGCUGAUCUAUCACCUGCCACGUCCCUUCCCAACCCGAGACGUCAGGGACAGGGCUACGUGGAGCCAGCACCAAGCCUUGCAAAAGGCCAGGAUCCAACCUACUCUCCAGCCUUCACCAGACAGUUUGGUAAGGCCUUGUUACUCUGACAUCAUGGGAUUCUAACUCUUUUUUCUGUAGGCUUGCCCAGGCUUCCUACUAAACUCGUCAUGAGGCAGAAACUGAUGAUUCCAUAAUGUCAAGAAAUAGCCAAUGGUGGUAGCUCUAUGAGAGCGUCGUGAUACAAUUCUUUAUUCGAGUCCUCUCGACAAAUCUAUCACACAGUCAGGGCUUUCAAGGUGCUGGAGGAAGGGAACCCCUGCUGAGCUUGCUCCAGGAUGGGCCUUGUGGGUGGAGGUUGAGUAGUAGGGCAGACAGGGAGAAGGAACUGUGAAAAGAUUUGUUUUCUUCUGGAGUGCCUGUUGUGGCUCAGUGGUUAACGAACCUGACUAGUCACCAUGGGGACGCAGGUUCGAUCUCUGGUCUCCCUCAGCGGGUUAAGGAUCCGGCGUUGCCAUGAGCUGUGGUGUGGGUCACAGAUGCUGCUCCGAUCCUGCGUUGCUGUGGCUGUGGUGUAGACUGGCAGCUGUAGGUCCAAUUCGCCUCCUACCCUGGGAACCUUCAUAUGCCACAGGUGCGGCCCUAAAAAGUAAAGAAAAAAAUUUUUUUUUCUUCUGAAAUAUAAACUUCUCUUUCUGUGCCAGGAUUAAUUCCAUUCCAUACAAGAAUGGCUAGAGCAGUGUUGCUAGGAAAUGAGCAGCUGUUUGUCUGGAUGACUCUGGACAGGAAUGUAUCAGGCAGGCAACGCAAACACGGAAGGGCUUUCAAGUGUGUGACACCGUGUCUGUCCAGUGCUGUUCAAGGAAACAGUGCGAGGCUUUUUAGCCAGAGCCAAGGCGGAGACCUUCCCCAAGGUGGUCUCAUUCCCAGGGUGGCGUGUCCUGGAGCACUGCCCAGGGUCUCUCCCUCUGCCAGCCUCAUCAGCGCUCGUCCUCACAACUGCCGCCUGGCUUUUGACCCUGAGCCUGUCUGCUGGGCGCCUGGGGCCAGAGGGACGCUGAGCUGGAAGAUGAGCUGGCUUGAAAGAGCUGGCUCUUUAGAAAUGAGCCCAGGAAGACAAACUCACCCCUAAGGAAUCCAGCCUUUGGAAUGCUAAAGUGGCGUCCCGCUGCUGAUGCCACUAUGUAAAUUUUGAAGACAGGCAAAGCGCCUCUCUUUUCUUAGAGAUCAGAAAAGUACGGACCUUUAGGCAAAAGGAAAGGGGUUAGGGGCUGCGGAGGAUCUCCCGGGGAGCUUUCUGAGGUUCUGAUUACGUUGUAUACGUUGGCUACACGGAUGCUUUCACUUUGCAGGACACCAUGGAACGGUACACUCUUGACAUGCAUGCUUUUCUUUUCUUUUUUCUUUUUUUGUCUUUUUGCCUUUUUCUAGGGCCGCACCAGAGGCAUAUGGAGAUUCCCAGGCUAGGGGUCGAGUCGGAGUUGUAGCCACUGGCCUACACCAUAGCCACAGCAAGGCAGGAUCCGAGCCGCGUCUGCAACCUACACCAGAGCUCACGGCAAUGCCGGAUCAUCAACCCACUGAGCAAGGCCAGGGAUCGAACCCACAACCUCAUGGUUCCUAGUCGGAUUUGUUAACCGCUGAGCCACGACGGGAACUCUGA
ensembl:lncRNA